CUUUACUAUAACUUGGAAUUUGGUUCGGGCUUUUCUUGCGCAGCCUAGGUGGGAGGCUAUGAAGAUUUCCUUCCGGGGAAGUUGGAGCCAUCAGUGAGAGACCACUCUGGAGAGGCUAGAAUCCUAAUGGUGAUCCUUGAAUCAGGACACUUGACAGUUUCAGGUGGGCAGUUUUUCUGGGGCGGAAGCCUCAUAAAGGGUAACUGAGGCGCGCAAAGGUCCCCUCAGUCUGGACGGAAAUCAGACAACGAGUGUAAAGGCAAAAGGGGGCUUGACUGCAAGACCUACAAGUCGAGCAGGAGCGAAAGCUGGCCUUAGUGAUCCGACGGUACCGUGUGGAAGGGCCGUCGCUCAACGAAUAAAAGUUA
rnacentral:rRNA from 1 species